AUGCUAUAACAUCCAAAUCCUCCCCCCAAUACUUAAACCUAAUAGUGUCUCCAAUGUUUAAGUAGAAAGUAAAAGAAAGGAAAAGGAAACUCAUAAAGAUUUAAUGAUUUGGAGGUUGGUGUGGGUAAUGACCUUGUGCGGUAUGGAAUGAUAAGAGUAUUUACAUCACGUUGUUGAUGUCAUUAAACAUUUGACAUUGCUUUUGUUAUUAUGCUCUUUGUAUCAGUUGCUCAACCUCAAUUUUGUCAUACCACUUUCGAUCAACAAUAAAUGACACAUAAUGCUUGAUAGGAGGUGGUGGCAGUGGAGGUUGUCGGCAUUCUCUUUCUAGCAUGUCAUCAUCACUGUUUGAAAUAUGAGGGUUUUUCGGUGGCUCUGUCCCAUAUGUCUAAUUUGCUUUAUUCCUAAUUGAGAUAAUGGAAGAGUUAUGUAACACUACAAAUUCCCGGUGGGGUGUUACAAAUGAUUAAGAUAUAAGCAUCGUCUCAUCUAGUAAUUAACCUCAUCGUGAAACAUACUUCCAUGUAUAACCGGGUGUUACUGUGCAUGAUAUCUAAAUGUUAUAACUCAUGCCCAAGCCCAAUCCCUUCAGCUAAUGUGGUGAUCAGUCCACCUAUGACUAUUUUCCUCUUUGUGGCUCUUUUUACUUUUUAAAAAUUCUUAGCCAUAAAAAUAAUGGUAUUUACAAUGGUGGAAUUUAUUAUACAACAGAUGAAGAAGAAAUCUUUAUGGACAACAACAUCAGUAUUAUCCCCAUACCAAUUUCAGUGUGUGCUAGAAAUUUUUGGACAUUUCUGAAAUAGGGGCUAUGGAGAUAUGAUGAUUUUGCAUGCACAAGGUUUGUGAUUAUAUUGCAUGCUAGCGUUUCCCGUAAAUAUUUAUCAUUGAAACCCAUGUUCCUUAAUCUAGUACGUACCCUUUCUUACCUUCCCAAAGGAAAUUCAAACAUGGCAUCAAUUUCAGAAGUAUUUAAGGCAUGUUCCUCAUUAAACAACCUAAAACUAACUACUCCAUAUUCAUCCCUCAACCUAACACUUAAUUCUAAUUUUACCUAACUAAGGAACUCAAGUGUGUUUCUAGCAUAAAUGGGUUUUUUUAGAGACAAUAAUUGCCUCCACCCAAUUUGAUCAAACAUCCAAUCAACAUGAGCUGAUAACCCUAAGGUUUCUAGAGUGGGUUCAUGAAUAUACCUGGUAGGAACAAUCUUACGAUGAACCAAGAUUCCAUAUUAUUGUUGUUGUUUAUAUG
rnacentral:lncRNA from 1 species